rnacentral:rRNA from 1 species
AUUGAACGCUAGCGGCAUGCUUAACACAUGCAAGUCGAACGGUAGCAGGUUUAGUGGUAACACUAGAUGCUGACGAGUGACGGACGGGUGAGUAACGCGUAGGGAUCUACCUUGUAGAGGGGAAUAACCUGGGGAAACUCAGGCUAAUACCGCGUAAGCCGGGAACGGGAAAGGUUGGGACCAGCAAUGGCCAAUCGCUAUAAGAUGAACCUGCGUCAGAUUAGCUAGUUGGUGGAGUAAAGGCCACCCAAGGCGAAGAUCUGUAGCUGGUCUGAGAGGACGACCAGCCACACUGGGACUGAGACACGGCCCAGACGCUUACGGGAGGCAGCAGUGGGGAAUAUUGGACAAUGGGCGAAAGCCUGAUCCAGCAAUGCCGCGUGUGUGAAGAAGGCCUGCGGGUUGUAAAGCACUUUCGUUGGGGAGGAAUUGCAAAAGGUUAAUAACCCUUUGCAUUGACGUUACCCAAAUAAGAAGCACCGGCAAACUCUGUGCCAGCCGCCGCCGUAA